AACGAACGCUGGCGGCGCGUCUUAAACAUGCAAGUCGAACGGCAAGAGAAAAGCUUGCUUUUCUCCUAGAGUGGCGGACUGGUGAGUAACACGUGGGUGACAUACCUUUUAGUUGGGGAUAGCUGUUAGAAAUAGCAGGUAAUACCGAAUGUGACCGCAUCUGUUAGAGAGGUGCGAGGAAAGGAGCUAAGGCUCCGCUAGAAGAAUGGCUCGCGGCCCAUUAGCUAGUUGGUGAGGUAACGGCCCACCAAGGCAAUGAUGGGUAUCCGGCCUGAGAGGGUGAACGGACACAUUGGGACUGAGAUACGGCCCAGACUUCUACGGGAGGCAGCAGUUAAGAAUAUUCCGCAAUGGACGAAAGUCUGACGGAGCGACGCCCGCGUGGAUGAAGAAAUGCCCGAAAAGGGUUGUAAAAUCCCUUUUAAAGCCCUG
rnacentral:rRNA from 1 species